rnacentral:rRNA from 1 species
CACGUAGGCACCAAGCGUUGUCCGGAUUUAUUGGGCGUAAAGAGCUCGUAGGCGGUUCAGUAAGUCAGGUGUGAAAUCUUUGGGCUUAACCCAAAGCGUGCACUUGAUACUGCUGUGACUUGAGUUCGGUAGGGGAGUGGGGAAUUCCUAGUGUAGCGGUGAAAUGCGCAGAUAUCAGGAGGAACACCAGUGGCGAAGGCGCCGCUCUGGGCCGUGACUGACGCUGAGGAGCGAAAGCGUGGGGAGCAAACAGG